CAUGCACCGGUGGGGUCCCUCGGCCUGGCCUGUGCCCUCUUACAAUCCUGGACCCCUCAGGGGAUGUCGGAGAGCCAGUUUCAGCCUGAUCCUGCAGGCCAGGCUGAGGGACCCCACUGAUGCACG
rnacentral:pre_miRNA from 1 species